rnacentral:rRNA from 1 species
UACGUAGGGUGCAAGCGUUAAUCGGAAUUACUGGGCGUAAAGCGUGCGCAGGCGGUUGUGCAAGACCGAUGUGAAAUCCCCGGGCUUAACCUGGGAACUGCAUUUGUGACUGCAUCGCUGGAGUGCGGCAGAGGGGGAUGGAAUUCCGCGUGUAGCAGUGAAAUGCGUAGAUAUGCGGAGGAACACCGAUGGCGAAGGCAAUCCCCUGGGCCUGCACUGACGCUCAUGCACGAAAGCGUGGGGAGCAAACAGG